GCUGAGGUCUAUCCCGACGGACCUUUACCUGUAGGGUCAUGUCGUUGGAAAUACCUCACAGAGUAAACCUGUAGUCUCGCUUUACCCACACGUUCCCUGCCAUGAGCCUGCUGGGAUAUCACUGCAGAACAUCA